rnacentral:rRNA from 1 species
UCGAACGAUUAAAGCUCCCUUCGGGGAGUGCAUAAAGUGGCGCACGGGUGAGUAACACGUAAGUAAUCUGCCUUUGAGUGGGGAAUAACCCGGGGAAACCCGAGCUAAUACCGCAUAACGCAGCGGCACCGCAAGGUGACAGUUGUUAAAGGAGCAAUCCGCUUGAAGAGGAGCUUGCGGCAGAUUAGCUAGUUGGUAAGGUAACGGCUUACCAAGGCUACGAUCUGUAUCCGGUCUAAGAGGACGGUCGGACACACUGACACUGAAUAACGGGUCAGACUCCUACGGGAGGCAGCAGUCGGGAAUUUUGGGCAAUGGGGGAAACCCUGACCCAGCAACGCCGCGUGAAGGAUGAAGUAUUUCGGUAUGUAAACUUCGAAAGAAUAGGAAGAAUUAAUGACGGUACUAUUUAUAAGGUCCGGCUAACUACGUGCCAGCAGCCGCGGUAAUACGUAGGGACCAAGCGUUG